GCUAGCGUUGUUCGGAAUUACUGGGCGUAAAGCGCACGUAGGCGGCUUUGUAAGUUAGAGGUGAAAGCCCGGAGCUCAACUCCGGAAUUGCCUUUAAGACUGCAUCGCUAGAAUUGUGGAGAGGUGAGUGGAAUUCCGAGUGUAGAGGUGAAAUUCGUAGAUAUUCGGAAGAACACCAGUGGCGAAGGCGACUCACUGGACACAUAUUGACGCUGAGGUGCGAAAGCGUGGGGAGCAAACAGG
rnacentral:rRNA from 1 species